UACAGAGGGUGCGAGCGUUAAUCGGAAUUACUGGGCGUAAAGCGCGCGUAGGUGGUUUGUUAAGUUGGAUGUGAAAUCCCCGGGCUCAACCUGGGAAUGGCGAUGAAGACUGCAAGGCUAGAAUCUGGCAGAGGGGGGUAGAAUUCCACGUGUAGCAGUGAAAUGCGUAGAGGUGUGGAGGAACACCGAUGGCGAAGGCAGCCCCCUGGGUCAAGAUUGACGCUCAUGCACGAAAGCGUGGGGAGCAAACAGG
rnacentral:rRNA from 1 species